rnacentral:misc_RNA from 1 species
CAGAGUUCAUGCCCUCGCGGGUAGAUCUCCCACCCUGUGUUAUAUCGUCACCUUCGUUGCUUUGGCGGGCCGCCAGGCCCACGGUCAGGCUACCGGCUCCGGCUGGUAAGCGCCCGCCAGAGGACCCUAAACCCUGAAUAUAUUAUGUUGUCUGAGUACUAUGUAAUAGUUA